ensembl:lncRNA
AUGUUUUUUGUCAGAAAUAUUUUGCACAUUCAGAAUGAAGAGAAAAACAAAUCAAUGCUGAAAAAAAAUCCAAAAGGGCCACUCAAAAACUACUGUGAAUCUCCAAAAAGAUUCCCUUGGACGUUUGGUUGUAGAUAAGGAGAACAGGGGUCCUGAAAGAACCAGACUACACAUGAUUAAACCUACUAAAGCUUGCUGGGGCAAGCCACUGAAUCGAUCACAGUGUAAACUGGUGACUCAAGCUCUUUCAGUAAGUAAGGAUGAUGAAGUGGGUUCUACAGUAAUAAAACAGAAAGACUUUACAGAACUUUCUGAGGUUGAAGGAAGUGUAAGAAACACUGGAGAAACCUCUGUACCCAUGAAAUAUCCAAAUAAUAAACACGCGAUUACGAUAGUAAAUGGGUUGUAUGUGAUUUUCUUGAGAUUUGGGGCAUUUUUUAUAAAAAAUAUUAUUAUGCAUAUCUGUAAUGCGAAUUUGUGCACCGAUAUUAAAGGCUAUAAAUAGCAUAUUUUAACAACAGUAAAUGACCAAAUUCCACAUGUGACCGCAAAAGGGAGUUAUUACAAACACUCGUUGGUGGUUUAAAGUGAGUUUUGAGUAAAAGUGUACUAAUAAUUUCAUAAAUUGCCUUAUGUAGCUUGAUGCUAUUGUUAACGCUAAUGCAGCUACAUAACAGGUGUGGUUCUACUUCAUAAUGCAUUUUGUCAUAAUAAUUUACGUAAGGUCGUAAGAAAAUGUUUUGUUGUAUUUUUAUAGAAAAGCUUUUGAUAAUAGUUGGGUAAAUGAAUACUGGGAUUGAAGCGAUGUGGCUUGGUAAACCUUGAAAUACCACAACAAAGGCUAAUAAUGGCUGAAUAAAAACAAAAGAAUAAUGGGAAUAAUGUCUCA